GCAUUGCUGGGGAGUUCCACAAUAGGACGAAACGGCCGUCCAGUGC
rfam:Schistosoma margrebowiei strain Zambia genome assembly, scaffold: SMRZ_scaffold0004099